rnacentral:rRNA from 1 species
AUUGAACGCUGGCGGCAGGACUAACAAAUGCAAGUCGAGCGAGCGGCGGACGGGUGAGUAAUGUAUGGGGACUGCCCGAUAGAGGGGGAAAAAUACUGGAAAGGGUGGCUAAUACAGUAUACUAUCGGAUAACCCAUAUGGGAUUAGCUUGUAGGUGAGGUAAUGGCUCCACUAGGCGACGAUCCCUAGCUGGUCUGAGAGGAGGAUCAGCCACACUGGGACUGAGACACGGCCCAGACUCCUACGGAGGCAGCAGUGGGGAAUAUUGCACAAUGGGCGCAAGCCUGAUGCAGCCAUGCCGCGUGUAUGAAGAAGGCCUUCGGGUUGUAAAGUACUUUCAGUCGGGAGGCGUUACCGACAGAAGAAGCACCGGCUAACUCCGUGCCAGCAGCCGCGGUAAUAC